rnacentral:rRNA from 1 species
AACGAACGCUGGCGGCGUGCCUAACACAUGCAAGUCGAACGGCAGCGGACCUUCGGGUGCCGGCGAGUGGCGAACGGGUGAGUAAUAUAUCGGAACGUACCUUUCAGUGGGGAAUAACGUAGCGAAAGUUACGCUAAUACCGCAUAUUCUGUGAGCAGGAAAGCAGGGGAUCGCAAGACCUUGCGCUGAUUGAGCGGCCGAUAUCAGAUUAGCUAGUUGGUGAGGUAAAGGCUCACCAAGGCGACGAUCUGUAGCGGGUCUGAGAGGAUGAUCCGCCACACUGGAACUGAGACACGGUCCAGACUCCUACGGAGGCAGCAGUGGGGAAUUUUGGACAAUGGGCGCAAGCCUGAGUCCAGCCAUGCCGCGUGAGUGAAGAA